CAGUUCGGCCAUCUAUAGCGGAGGCUCCUUAACUCGUUCCGAAAGAAGAGAAGCGCCGUCAGGCCCCGCCAGUACUGCGAUCGGAGACGUCGUGGGAACACGGGGUACCGAACUUU
rfam:Giardia intestinalis strain GS GS_B_0529, whole genome shotgun sequence.